AUGAUCAGCAUCCUCGCGCAGGAGCGCCUCCUCGGGUUCGCCCUGGGCUCCGUCUCCAUGGGUGGUUUCGUCCUCCACCAGCGCCGCGCCAUCUACCGCUCCCUUGCCGACGCCGACGCGGCCUCUGGGGGCGCAUCCUUCUCCUAUCAGACAAGCGAGACCACCGGUAGAGGAGUUUCAGCUGAGAUGGCUCACGUAUGGAACAAGGCAGUGGACGAGACACUUGGCCGGCUUGUUGUGUAUCUUAGCUCUCGUGGAUGGUAA
rnacentral:rRNA from 1 species